rnacentral:rRNA from 1 species
AACUCUUAGCGGUGGAUCACUCGGCUCGUGCGUUGAUGAAGAACGCAGCUAGCUGCGAGAACUAAUGUGAAUUAGUCCCCCUAAGAGCAGACCUUUUUGGGAUGCCCCGGCGUGCGGCUGCGGCGGCCACACCGCUCCGUGCCC